UGCCAAUAUUAAGUUAGGAACUCAUAUCAGACUGCCGUGGAUUAACACGGAGGAAGGUGGGGAUGACGUCAAAUCAUCAUGCCCCUUACGCCUUGGGCUACACACGUGCUACAAUGGCCAUUACAAAGAGCGGCAAACCCGUAAGGGCAAGCGAAUCUCAAAAAGAUGGUCUCAGUUCGGAUUGUGGGCUGCAACCCGCCCACAUGAAGUCGGAGUUGCUAGUAAUCGUGAAUCAGAAUGUCACGGUGAAUGCGUUCCCGGGUCUUGUACACACCGCCCGUCACGCCAUGGGAGUUGGGAGUACCCAAAGCCGGUGAGCUAACCCAGCAAUGGGAGGCAGCUGUCUAAGGUAAGACCGAUGACUGGGGUGAAGUCGUAACAAGGUAGCCGUAUCGGAAGGUGCGGCUGGAUCACCUCCUUU
rnacentral:rRNA from 1 species